UUCUCCCGCCAUUUCAGGGUUGGUAGCUACGGUUACACUAGUAUUGCACAAAAAAAUACUAUCGACUUAAAAAAUACCAGAAAGAUUACAAUGCCUUAAAAAAUACCUAUCGAUAGGCACAAAACUCCCAUCACUGCUUACGAUUACCAUCUCUAAUAUAAACAAUCAACAAGAAGAAGAAAAAAUGGAAAAGGCGAAGAAACAUGGAGACACAUUCCCUGGAGGUCGUCAAGUAGAUUUGCUGGAAGCAUUUCGCCGGCGUCGCUGGAAUUCGUGGAAGCGUCGUCAAACAGUUCUUGGAAGUGGCUGGGGCAGCAACGGCGGCGUAGCAGGGAAAAAAUCGGCGGCGACACGGUGGCAGCAGCUUCGUCAACGGCGACUCUCAUAGGGCCGCGCCAUUUCCAUGGAACCUCAAUAUGGAAAGGCGACGGCGGAGGCAUGGCCAGCGACUGGAGGUGCGGGCAGAGGUGUAGAAGAUCCGUGGGCGUGGCAUAGUAGGCGUCAGGUCGUCGCCAUGGUCAAGAUGCGUAUCCCAAAGAGGGAGGUCGUCAGGAUCGGAUCGUUGUCAAUACAGGUUGUUGCGGCCUA
rnacentral:sRNA from 1 species